AGAGUUUGAUCAUGGCUCAGGAUGAACGCUGGCGGCGUGCCUAAUACAUGCAAGUCGAGCGGCAGCACGGUCUUCGGACUGGUGGCGAGCGGCGGACGGCCGAGUAACGCGUAGGAAUAUACCCCAAAGUGAGGGAUAACUGCCCGAAAGGGUGGCUAAUACCGCAUGUGGUCUUCGGACUAAAGCCUUCGGGCGCUUUGGGAAUAGCCUGCGUAAGAUUAGCUAGUUGGUGAGGUAAUGGCUCACCAAGGCGACGAUCUUUAGCUGGUCUGAGAGGAUGACCAGCCAGACUGGAACUGAGACACGGUCCAGACUCCUACGGGAGGCAGCAGUAGGGAAUUUUCCACAAUGGGCGAAAGCCUGAUGGAGCAACGCCGCGUGCAGGAUGAAGGCCCUCGGGUCGUAAACUGCUUUUAUGUGCGAAGAAUAUGACGGUAACACAUGAAUAAGGGUCGGCUAACUACGUG
rnacentral:rRNA from 1 species